AGCUGCCCACAGCAGAAUCCACAUGCCGUCCAUCUGGUCCAACCUCACGCAGAGCCACAACUGUGCUGGCGCCUGGAGCUGCCAGCCCCACUGCAGCAGCCGGACUGACAUUCAGACAUGGAGCAAGUUGGACUGCAUAGGGACCCACCAGUGAGAUUGACGCUGUCUGUAAAGGGUUCUCCAGGGAGGCUGCUCUGCCAAGUCUGGUAUUUCAUGAAUAGAUCUGAAAACAGACAUUAUCUCUUCUCCCAGUGAAGAGAGAGUGAUGAAGGCUCAGGACAAAAGGAGGCAGUGGGAUGAUGCCGCCAAGGGACCGUUCUGAAGAGCCAUCAGCAAAAAGC
rnacentral:lncRNA from 1 species